CGGGCUCCGGCGCUGACACCGCGGCACUCAUGCCCUGUCCCCUUUCAGCUGUUUCCAGCAUACUGUGCCCCGUCUGUCCUCAGGCCAGGGCUUCGCUGCAGCCCCGGCCACUCCCUAGUGCCUGGCCCGGUGGUGGCCAGGCAGUUGGCCGCGCUGCUUCUCCCGCAGAGGGGACCCCCACUGGGGGCGAAGGCUUGGCCUGCCCUCUUCACUGCUGUAUUUCCAGACCUGAUGCCUGCGUUUGUGAGAGCUCUGGAUAUAUGGUUUUCGAUUGAAUGAGUGAACUGGAGGGGCUUCCCCUUCUUGUGUUGCUGAAUCUUUCUAGCUGCCCUGUUGGGGCAGGGAGGGGCAGACACACUUCAGGGGCUGCAUUGCCCGAAGGGUGCCACCUUUCCCACCUCUCCAUCCCCGUAACUGGGCUGUCAUCAGGCCACAGUAGGAUUCUUACCCUCUCCCACCCAGAGGAGGCCCUCAAUCCUCUCCUCUCCCUUCCAUUUAGGCUGAGUUUGAGAAAGCUGCAGAGGAGGUUAGGCACCUUAAGACCAAGCCAUCGGAUGAGGAGAUGCUGUUCAUCUAUGGCCACUACAAACAAGCAACUGUGGGCGACAUAAAUACAGAACGGCCCGGGAUGUUGGACUUCACGGGCAAGGCCAAGUGGGAUGCCUGGAAUGAGCUGAAAGGGACUUCCAAGGAAGAUGCCAUGAAAGCUUACAUCAACAAAGUAGAAGAGCUAAAGAAAAAAUACGGGAUAUGAGAGACUGGAUUUGGUUACUGUGCCAUGUGUUUAUCCUAAACUGAGACAAUGCCUUGUUUUUUUCUAAUACCGUGGAUGGUGGGAAUUCGGGAAAAUAACCAGUUAAACCAGCUACUCAAGGCUGCUCACCAUACGGCUCUAACAGAUUAGGGGCUAAAACGAUUACUGACUUUCCUUGAGUAGUUUUUAUCUGAAAUCAAUUAAAAGUGUAUUUGUUACUUUAAAU
rnacentral:lncRNA from 1 species